rnacentral:rRNA from 1 species
UACAGAGGGUGCAAGCGUUGUUCGGAAUUAUUGGGCGUAAAGGGAGUGUAGGCGGUCCAUUAAGUCUUCUGUGAAAUCUACGGGCUUAGCCUGUAACGUGCAGAGGAAACUGGUGGACUUGAGUGUCGGAGAGGAUAGGGGAAUACCCGGUGUAGAGGUGAAAUUCGUAGAGAUCGGGUGGAACACCAGUGGCGAAGGCGCCUAUCUGGCUGACAACUGACGCUAAGACUCGAAAGCAUGGGGAGCAAACAGG